AGGGCAUUUAAUUGGAAGUAAGAAACACGAAUGGCAAAGAGGGGAUAUGCUUUAGCCCAUAUAAUGUAUAGCCUCUACUCAUCCCUCGGCAUGGCCUCCAUUUGGGCGACACAUAUUUUAGUUUAAUAUAUAUCCUAGGGUGCCGUUUCGUAAAACGUGAUGUAAUAACUAAUUUGUAGUGAAAGUUUAAAGAUAGUGAUAUAAUUCAAUUUGAUUGGCCGACAGUAUGCAUUUGUUAUUAUAACAAGACUUUAAGAAGGCCAGGUUAUCACAACCCGCCAUGCUCAAAGAGAGCAUAUCCUUUACAACAUGAUCUAGGUGGAGGGGGUAACCCCGGUACCCCCCCCCCCCACACACACCCCGCUUCCGAAUCUGCGCUUGACCGAAGUUAGCUUUGACAUUGACGAUAGCUCUCCAUUUCCCCAUGUUUCACACAAUUAAUAACAUCUGAUAUUUUGUCAAUUUAUGUCAUCAAUAUGAAAGUGUUUAACAAAGUUGGUGUAUUGUACUAUAGGAAUAUUAGACGAAAUGGGCAUUGUCUUAUUUGUAAACUAGACAAAUUAGUUGUGACUAUGCUAAUGGAAUGGCUAUUUACAGUUUAAAUCAUUAUUGGGCAAUCUUGUAUGAAACGGAACCAGAUUCGAUAAUUAGGAGGCUCUAGAACAAGUAGGAAAUUCCCGGACUUUAUCCUUUAAGUUAGUCAUGAGUUUAAUCAAUAACUAAUCAACGAGCUUCGGCUAAUCGCAACAUUACACAAAGGUAUCAAGAAAAGACGACGAAACAAGUGUGAAGUCCGCCUGGUCAUUUGAGGACUUUACAGUUAAACGGGAUAUGUCUAACCCAUCAGAAAACAAGCCGAUAAAUAGAGAAGUAAAGACCUAUUCAAACAUGGCCGCUUCACCGAACUUUGACGCGAUUGAGAUGCAACCGGGUAAGAAGGUGGAAUGGAUGACCAAACCUGACCCAAGCCAGGUCACCGGAUGUCCUCCUGGUCUCGAAUACCUCGUCCAAAUCGAUCAGAUCCUCAUUCACCAGAUGGUCGAGAUCUUCGAAGCUGUAACAAAUAUUGAAAUGAAGAAUAAGUACACCAUCAAGAAUUCUUUGGGUCAACAAAUAUUUUAUGCCUUCGAAGAAUCGAGCUGUUGCCAUCGUUACUGGUGUAGACAAGGCAGGGGUCUCGAUAUUCAUGUCAUUGAUAAUGAACAACGGGAGGUGAUGAAGAUUGUUCGGCCAUUUCAGUGCUGUGCUGGAUGCUGCUGGUGCGCCGAUACCGAGUGCUGUGCCUACCUCAUUCAGAUAGAAGCCCCACCGGGUAACAUCAUCGGUUAUGCCAAGCAGACUAAGAGCUGGUGGUACCCUCAUAUGGAUGUGAUGGACGCCGACAUGAACCCGAUCCUGAAGAUCAGAGGACCGUGCUGUAUCUGUCAAACCAUUUGCUGCAGAUGUGAUGUUGAAUUUAAAGUGAUGUCAAACGACCUGAGUAGUGAACUAGGUGUCAUACAGAAGCAAUGGUCAGGUUGGCUGAGGGAAUGCUUCACGAAAGCGGAUCACUUUGGUAUGACGUUUCCUUCAGAUCUUGAUGUAAAAGCAAAGGCAACUCUCAUGGGAGCUUUGUUUCUAAUUGAAUUCAUGUUUUUCGAGCAAGAUCAGUGAAUGUAUGCAGUUCUAUCGACAGACUAUUUCCAAAGGGAUAUCAAAGACAACCUGUAAAGGGCGCGAAUAGGAAACAGUUGGAAUGCACAACAAACCUUUGCUCUAAAGGAUAGGUUAUACCUUGAUGUAAAAUUGAUUUUAAGAAAAAUGGAGAUAUGUACUGAUGAGGAAUAUUUUACAAAAAUCCUACGAAGAAUAACGGAGUUAUGCAUGUUGAAAUUAGAAAUUAAAAUAUUUGAGGUCAUAGUCUAGUAGCUCCUCCCAUUCCAUGUACAUUAAAAAAAAAAAUUUAUGUUUCACGAUAACCGAAAUUAUUUAUACAUGUUUUUAUAGAAGCGUUUACAAUAACUGUGCUUGUUAGUAUACAAAUAAUGCACGUAAGCGCGUGCAUGCAGGGCCAAAUAAUGAACGAUGUGCGAGAAUAGCCGAUGGUUAUACAACUCCCAAGAAUGUUCUGUAAUCUGAUUGGUCCAAAUCGGAUCACAUGAUAUUCAGCGAAUUGCACUAUUGCAUCCAAAAUGCACUAUCCUGCACUCUGACGUCAUACCAAAAGUACUAUCCUGCACUCUGACGUCAGAGUACAGGAUAGUACGAGGUCUGGAAUGAUCUAGAAUUAUCUAGAAUUUAGAUCAAAUAAUAGCAUUCGGGGCAAGUCAGCCUAUAUUCUUUGAUUAAAUUUUUGAAAACUCUUCAUGCCGUGGCCAAGUGGUCUAUAAGGUCCAUGGCACCGUAAGCAAGAUAUUUAAUCAACAGUGCUCUUUUAUCCUAUAUUCAAAUAUAUGAAGAUGCUGUGCAUGGUAUAAGAAUUGUUUUUCUGCAAAUUGGAUGCGAUAUGUUCGGCAUUAUCAUAUGCGAAUCAGAACCCCAUUUGUUAUAUAAAUCCCUACUUAUAGUAUAUAUGUAUGGACAGCAUGUGUUUAAACUGGAAGGGCACAUUUUACGUAUAAAUGAAAUUUAAAUGUACAUAAAUAUCAUUUCAAAUAUGUUAUCUUCAAAUAAAAAUGUGUUUACGAAAAAUUUUAAGGAAGGGAAAAUGAUGGCAUAUUUACUAUAUAAAUAUUACAAUGUAACUAUUUAAACAUGUUAAAGGAAACAAGGAGUGACAAUAUCUUCAAAAUGUUAGAUCAAGUUUGAUCCUGUUGAUCAAACUGGAUUCUUUUGAUUAAAAAUGUAUUGUAUUUUCUACCACGAA